CUUCCCUGUGUCAAUUCUCUUCCUGUUCACUCGGGAACUCUCUGGAACACUCUCCCUCAUCUCUCUCCCUCCUCCCUCUGCAACAACAGCAACAACGACCCGAGGCACCACCUCGCCUCGCCCCUCCGGCGAGCUUCACCGCCACCAAAAACCAUCACUGUCUACCCUGCACCUCCCCGUUCCCCUCGUCCCGCUCUCUCUCCUCUGUGCUCGAGGCACAGCUGCAGGAAUGGCAGCCACCAUCGCCAUACUUCCCGGCGAGAUUUCACGGUGCUCCGACCUGGGAACAGAGAAUGCAAGAAACUCAUGAUCGAUUGAACUUCAUGGGCAUGUUUGAUACGCAUGAUCGAUUUGGCUCGGACUAAUUGUAGGGAAUGGUUUGAAUUGGUUUGGCUUGGACUGAUUGUAGGGAACGGUUUGAAUUGGUUUGGCUCGGACUAAUUGUAGGGAAUUGUUUGAUACGCAAGUUCGAUUUUGAUAGCAGAUGAAAGCCAGAUGCAAGAUUCAUCAUCGUUGUGAGGUUUCCUGUCCUUGUGUCUCAAGUUAGGGGUUUGGAUUGGUUCUAUUGAGGCCCGUCAUUUUGGUCCUCAUCCGUUUGGUUCAAGCUGAGAUUGGUGUUGCAUGUGCAGAACAGUUUGUAAUAGCAUUAUCUCCUUCAACCUUCGCAAUUACAAGAUAAUUCACAAUCAAA